rnacentral:lncRNA from 1 species
AACAACAGGGGGAAGAUGGCUCAGAGUUAGGCUGGAGAGGGGCGGUGUCCCUUCCGCCGCAGCCGCGGGGUUUCUGCUACAUCCCAUUCGCCACCUCCGCCAUCCUUUUUUCUGUGUGAGCAGAAGGGCUUGCAGUUGUUCUCUCCUGCCUAGUGUCUUCCAAGGGAUAGAUGCCAUUUCUUCUGCUGGUCUCUGGGGGUGAGGAGGGGCGCAGGGGAGCUUCUUGGGGGAAUCGCUCCAACUCUGUGGAGCUGGUGGUGCUGCCUGGUGGGGCUCUCUCUGCCCAGGACGUGGAACAACUUUCAGCCGGAGGACUAGAGGAAAUAGUUGUAGGGGAGGAAAAAUUGUUUCCUUCUAGCCUUUUAGGUCAUUUGGCUGGUCUACAAAUUAAAUUGAUGUAAGACAGAGGAACAUGAGAAAAACGAUUUGUCGACCGAAAGGUGAAAUAACAGGUACUAAAACUUAAAGAAAUCAUGGUUAGUUUUAUUACUCGGCCAAGUUUGAGGACUUAAGCCUGGGAACACAGACUCAGUAUAGACCGAGAACGUGUCCCAAAGUAAGUUAGCUGGGAGUAUAACCUGAAGAAGACUGAGUUUUAAUACCCAGAAUAUUUGAGUAUCAAUAUCUAGACUACUGUGUCAUUUUGUCGCCAAAGUAAUUUUUUAUGAAUCCAGUUUUGCACCAAAUACCAAUAUGACUUAAAUGUUGUCUGAUUGUGAGGCCUAAGAUGGUCACAGUCUCAUUUAUCUUUCUUCCUCAACAAAAACAUUUUCCAUAUAUUACAUAUUAUUUUGAAUGGGUAGAGACUAAAGCCACGUUUCUAUAAUUUCAGGAUUUUAAACAUUUUGUAGACGAUAACAUUCGUCUUGAAGCUGUGGACAAUCUAAAACAGAAAUGGAGUUCCAAAUUUUGUUUUUGUAAUAUGGCCCGUCAACUGCACAUGGGAAGAAUUCUGGAAUUUUGCCGCUUCUUGGUUGACAGAAUCCAAGGGUAUAUUGUCACAGAGAAGACUCCAGCCUGAUGUCUAUGGGACCUGAGUCCACACUGUGGAGGGCACAAGCUGUGGGAGGGCCUGGAAGACACGCCUCAGAGAUUCUCCCAGUCCUGCCACCCUGUGGGAGACACUUCAAAGGAAUCGUAAACUCAUGUGACCAGCAGGGAGGACAACGAUGAAGAAACUUUCCUGCCUAAAAUCAGCUGCUGUCCAGAGCUAGCACCUGGAAGGAGACACUCCCUCUCCUGGGGUCACAUCUUCACUGCAAGGCGGGUGGGAGCUCACUGCUGUGACCCACAUAUACUCCUCUCUCGGCGUCUCUAUCCUGCUGCUUUCUCUGACUGCAUCUUCCUCUGUUCCUUGGUCAGUGUUUGAGAAGAGAAUGUUGAACAAGUCACAUCCUUGUCACUCUGAGUCAGAACCCUCAUUUGACUUGGAAGAUUUGUGCUUCCGUUUUUUCUUCUUUUUCUUUUCUUUCUUCCUUUUCUUAUGCUUUUCUUUCUUCUUCUUUUUCUUGUGUUUCUCUUUACCUUCAGAGGAACUGGAGCUGCUCCUAUCUUCAUCUGAGGUAGAAUCCUCCAGUAACUGUUUUAACUGCUGUAUCCUAAACAUUCAAAAUUGAUCAAAGAACAGUGAGUUUUAGCUUUAACUUACAACAGUUGCUUAGAUAAAUAUGUCAUUCAAAAGCAGUAUAGGAUGAUGAAUAACCAUGUCACAAAGACAGUAUUUUUAUUUUUACCUGUUUUCUCAUUCUUCUCCACCUGAAUGCCUACUUUACGUGACUGAAACCAGUGUACAAGCCACUUUGUAUUCUUUUUAUUGUCCUAGACAUUUCUGCAUGUUUCCACAGUCCUUACAAUUGUAAUUUCUAACAGACGCAUACUUUACUAAACCAUUCCCCUACUGCUCAAUUUCUUAAUCUACAUCUUUAACAGUUAUAAUGCCACCAAUUUGAAAAAACAAACCCUCCAAUUUUUUCCACCUCUCUCUAAUCAUGUCUAAUUUUUUUCUUUUUUUUUUAGAGACAGGGUCUUCCUCUGUCACCUAGGCUGGAGUGCAGUGGUGCAAUCAUGGCUUACUGCAGCCUCAACCUACUGGGGUCAAGUAGAUCCUCCCACCUCAUCCUCCCGAGUGGCUGGAACUACAGGUGCGUGCUGCCAUACUUGGCUACUUUUUAUAUUUUUUUGUAAAGAUGGGGUUUUGCUGUAUGGCCCAGGCUGGUCUCAAACGCCUGGACUUCAGCGAUCCGCUGGCCUCGGCCUCCCAAAGUGUUAGGAUUACAGGUGUGAGCCACUGAGCCUGGCCUAAGUAUAAUUUUUAACAAAAGCUCACAUCCCUAAAGACUCUGGAGAAGAUAAACUGAAUCACAUGAAAAUAUCAAUUAUACUGUACAAGUAGACAGCACAACAUGGGUUGCCAACAUCAACUGCAGUGGCCAGAGAGCUGGACCAAGCCCAUGGCUUUAAGUUAACCCAAGGAGGAGGAGGCUGGCCUGCUCAUUCCCCAACACUGGCCUUUUCAGCCAUGACUCCUGCACUCCACAUAUUUUCACAAUUGAAGUACCAUGUUUACUGCACCAUUCCUCUAACACUAGAGUGGUUUUCUCCAACUUUAUAUAAUUUUAAAACUUUAAGGGGAUAUUGUUAUCAUCAGGACGACCUCACCUUACGUCCUUUUCAUGUCGUUUAUUGUCUCGUAUGAUGUCAUACAUGGGAUCUUCAUGUGCCUUAAGGGUCAGAGAAGGUUAAGGUUUGGUUAGGCUUCAUGGAUCACAAGUUAAAUACAAUGAAAUGCCUAUGUUAUGAAAAC